CACUCCUCCAUGCCGACAUCACGGAGCUGGUGGAUCUUAGAGACCUUGUGGUCCUCCACCUUCCGUUUGAGGAUGCCCCACAGAUGCUGGUUCUGUUACAUUUUCACUGGCCAUGCACACAGUAAACAGGGACAUCAACUAUCAUAAUGGGUUGGAAUGGUAUAAACCCGGGGUGACCAACACGGUGCCCGCGGGCACUAGGUCGGCCCCAAGGACCACGAGUCGCCCGUAGACCUGUUCUAAAAAAAAAAAACACAACUCACAAGUGAGCUGCGUCUAAAAUUUGAUCUGCGUUUCUAAUAAAAUUUCAUUAUUUAUUUAUUAUACUGUCAAAUGUUUAUUCCCAUAUUGAAGUUGAAAAGGUAUAGUUCAAAGGUCAGUUCGUGGAGAGUAAGCCUUCGGGUGGGCUGAAUGCGGUUUCUUGCCCCAAAAACAUGGCCGAAAAAAGAAAGAAAACUUAUAAUUUUCACAGUGAAUGGGAGGAAGAGUUCUUUUUUACUACUGUAAAAGAAACCUGCGUGUAUUUAAUUUGCGGGACGACGGCAAAGCAGCACCAUGUGAAGAGACACUUCACUACGCGUCACAAAAGCUACCAUGCUAACUACCCACUGGGCAGCGCGCUAGGGGCAGAAAAAGCCCGUGAGCUAAAGGCAGCUUUGGGUAAGUAGCAGUCUUUUUUUUCACGAGACCGUCGAAAAACACCUAAAAAGCAAGUGAGGCCUCGUGAAAAUCAUAAACAGCAUCCGCUCCAAAGCAAGACAGUUCAGGAUAUUCAAGGUGCUAUUGGAGGAGAUGUCAGCUGAAUAUGGUGACCUGCUGCUACACACAGAAAUCCGAUGGCUCAACAGAGGACGAGUUUUACUUCCUGGUUUUGUUUUGUUUUUUGGUCACUUUUGGGUGAAAUCAAAGAGUUCAUGCAGACCAAAGGCAAAGACGUCUCGCUGCUAGAGGACACAGAGUGGACACUCGACCUUGCAUUUUUAACGGACAUUACUGCGAAACUAAACCACUUGAACUGCGAGCUGCAAGGCAAGGUACCUUCUCCCUGAGGCUGGGGUCAUGGAACCACUCCAGCAGUUUCAUUCCCACCACCAUCGGGCUGGACAGGAAGGUGCGACAGGUGCGGGUGUGUCUCACCGAUGUCAUCGUCCAUGCAGUCCAUGCGUUCUUUCUCCAGGCAGACACGGACGAUGUCUCGGCUCGUGAGUGGAUCGGAAAAGUGCAAGAAAUCUGAUUUUACAAAGGAUAAUCAAUCCAGUGUGUUUACAUGCACUUCAGUAAUCUGAUCAUGGGAACACAUAUAAAAUUCUGAUUUCUUCUAUCAAUCAUACAGUAUCUAGGUGCUGAAUGUAGAUGCAGAUGUAAUAAAAAAAUUUAAAAACAUAUAAAUGUUUUGAAUUAACUCAUAUUUAGGGGUCUUAAUAACAGUCUUUUAGUCUUUACCAACUUUAAUCCAGCAUAACCUAACACAUAGCAUGUUGCUUACACACUGUAAAAAAAAAAAAAAAAAAAAAAAAAAAAAAUUAUUGACUUAACUUAAUAUAUUAAGUGGCACUUUUCCUUUUUUUUGUUUUCUGAACUUCAGUAGAAAAGUUCACUUUCGAAAACAAAAAAGUAAUCUUAAAUUAUAAGAUGUAGUUAGGAAAGUUUAGUUAUCUUCUUUAUUCAGCUGAAAUCUAUGUUGCCUCAACUAGCAUUUAAGUUCAUACUUCAAAGGCCCAGUAGAAACACAAACACUUACAGUACAAGCCUUGUACAUAAGUUGACCAAUAAAAUGUGGUUCAAAUGUAUUUAAAUAUUUUAAUUUCUGCCUCAAUUCUCAAAUCAAACAACCAAAAAUAAAUUAUAUCAUUACAAAAAUGUG